rnacentral:rRNA from 1 species
GACGAACGCUGGCGGCGUGCUUAACACAUGCAAGUCGAACGGAAAGGCCCUGCUUUUGUGGGGUACUCGAGUGGCGAACGGGUGAGUAACACGUGAGUAACCUGCCCUUGACUUUGGGAUAACUACAGGAAACUGGGGCUAAUACCGGAUAGGAGCUCCUGCUGCAUGGUGGGGGUUGGAAAGUUUCGGCGGUUGGGGAUGGACUCGCGGCUUAUCAGCUUGUUGGUGGGGUAGUGGCUUACCAAGGCUUUGACGGGUAGCCGGCCUGAGAGGGUGACCGGCCACAUUGGGACUGAGAUACGGCCCAGACUCCUACGGGAGGCAGCAGUGGGGAAUAUUGCACAAUGGGCGGAAGCCUGAUGCAGCAACGCCGCGUGCGGGAUGACGGCCUUCGGGUUGUAAACCGCUUUCGCCUGUGACGAAGCGUGAGUGACGGUAAUGGGUAAAGAAGCACCGGCUAACUACGUG